CUACGUUAAGCAUCCAUAUUUUUGAAGAAAGUGAUGAUGGUUUGAUUCGCAGAGGAAUCGUUUAAUUUUCUUUUUUUCUCGUAUUCCCCGAAAGAAACUAACAAAUCCAAUUAGGAACGAACAGCACACAGGGUGUUGUCGAAGAGGAACACGUAGUCUAGAUUAUGAGAACAAAUUUGAAAUUCUAGACAAUGCUCUUGAGCAAUGUGUCCGUUGUAAGAUUUAUUUCCUAUAUUGGCAUAAUAGUAUUGUUAGAAAAUCAUGAAUUGUUUUCUUCCUUUUAGGUUUUUGACUUCGUUUAAUGUUGUGGCUGAAUGGACAAUGAGAGAUUGAAUCAACAACAUAUCAAGUGGGCAGCUCAUGGUCAAACUCGUUUGGCAUAAAGGGUUUGUUAGAUAAGGGUGGAGGCAGCUUUAACAAUUUAGAUCUAGCACCUAUUAGACUGGUGGUGUUGGCCCCGUGAAUCUUAUCGUCUUCAAGCUGGGUGAAAAAACAAUGAUUCAGUUGGUUUCGUGCAACAUCCUCACAAAAAUGGGACAAGACUUAACAAAAAGAGCAUAUAGAUGCAGUGUCAAACUGUACCAGUGAGUACCAGAGUAAUGUGACAAACAUUCAUGAUGGUGAUUAAUCUUCACACAGCUAACAUUUAGUUGUUUUUCUAAUGCAGUUUGGAAGCCACUUUGAGUAAACCUUUCGUCAGUUACUCACAAAAAAAGAUUGGCAAAUCUAGUCCUGAGAGAUCACUUUUUUUGUCAAGGAAAUACUGGAAAUUGGUAUUGAAAAGGUAUUCAACCAUGGCAUGUUGACCAGCUAUCUGCGGAGUGAAAAUCUACUUGACAGUGUUCAACCAGUUAAGUACAUUUUACAAAAGAUUCUGAGAAUUGCAAAAGUUAUGUGAACAAAUUUUGUAUUGGAGAAAUUCUAGGUAAAAUGAAAGCCAUUUCACAAUACAGCUGAAUAGCUAUGAAAUGCAACCAAUCCAGGAACUGAGUGUGUUGAACAACCAAACUUAUCUUGGAGAGCUGCAGAAAGAGAAUGGAACAUUACCCUGCCAAACACCUGCUUCCAAAUGGUCAAUGGCAGGGGUCUUAUUCACUGUCUGAUGAAUUUAAGUUUAAACAAGAUAUUGCUUUUGAUUACCUCUGCUGAGCUGCUUAGGAAGUUAGCUAGAGUGACGAAGAUGUGUCAUCACAGCAGAAUAAGUGUAAAAAGCAAGUUGUUCAGCAAAACGAGUGCCUUGCAUUAUUUACCACUAUUUUACGAUAUUGAGCUGAUGAUACCUGGUAAACCUGCAAUUUGUUUUUAUGUAGACUUCAUGGUUUUUGAGUUACGUCAAAAAUAAAAAUAGGUACGAUAGAAA